CUCAGAUGAGCUUCCUCUUCGGAGUCUCCUUCUGGGGAAAUAUCUGUGAGGAGGAAGGCGAUCUCGUGGCCAGUCAAAUGGCUGGAACGGAAAACGGUGGCUGCACUUUGGAGGAAAGAAAGGAAGCCUUUGUGAAGGCAACCAUCACAGCAGCAUUGAAACGUGCCUUGAAGCAGAAUUGCAACAAACACAAGUGAAAGCAGGAAGAGGGAGUAGCCACAGCCACAGCCCCUGCCACGGAAGAGAGUGAAGAGGGUGAGAUUGGAGAGCCACACAGGACCUCAUCCAGCAGACCCAGAUGUGUGCAAGUAGCAACAGACUGGAACCAGGGUGGCAGGGAUGGAAAGAAGCUACAUUUGAAGGACUUCAAGGAGUUGUGGCAGCCAGCAGAGCAGUACCCAGGAGGAGAAGCCGUGUCUACAAGCCAUGGCUGCCACCCCGAGCAGCCGCUGUGUUGAACCCCAUGCUGCUUUAAAGGGGAGUUGGUGAGUCACCCGCAGCCUGAUUCACAUAAUUUGCAUUUGCUGGGUGGACCACAGAGACCAGGGAUUGCGGUGCAAGGGCAGGAAACCAGCAGGGGAAUACCAGACAGUAUUUGUCAACCAGAAGCUUUGUGUAAUGACAGCUGAAUAUUGUUCAUCUCUCCUUGCAGUGGGAUUUGGACAACCAUGCCCUCACUAGCCUUUUCACCCCUCGAAUCUUCUCCUGUGUCAGUGCCUUCUACUCACCUGUGCAGUUGGGUCUUCCUCUGGAGGAGAAUGCAGCUGUCUAGAACACUGCUCCCCCCUGUGUAGCUAACUUACUUAGGAAAGCCAAGUGGGGCAGGAGGGCAUUUUCAAGAGGCUUCCUGCCCUGGGCAUGUUAAGGGGCUGCUCUCCACCUGCACAGGGUUUGUGCUGCUGCUUCUCAGCUCUGCUCGUGUGCAGGAGGUGAGGGCCGCAGUCAGAAAACUGUCUUUCCCAGGGGCCAGCGGAGUAACUGUCCAAACAAACAUGGAAGUCUGGGAGAGUAACUUAGUGCCUUGUCCUCCCAGUGCUUCUCUUGGUUCACCGAAUUGCCUACAAGAUGGACAUGGUAUACCUGUGCCCAGUUGGUUUCCAGAGAGAAGGACUCUGUCAGCUGCUGAAGGAAUGAGGGGGCAGUUACAGGUGAUUCAGAGCAUGGACCUCGGAAUCAGGAAAAACUCCAAUAUCGGUUCCCUUUCUUACUAGCUGGGUGACCGUGCUAAGUCCCUGAGAUUGCUAAAGCCUCAGGUGCCUCAUCUGCAAAACGGGGCUUGUAGUAUCUCCCCCAGAGGAAGGUCGUGAGUUAAGGAGACGGUUGACACAAAGCUCCGACCACAGUGGCUGGCCUGUGGAAGGGAGGGUUUGUGGUUCUUCUUAAAUUAUAAUAACCCCUGUUGAUAAUUCAUUCUCUUAGGAGGGUGUACUUGCCAAAUCGUUCAGUUGCUCAGAAGACAUCCACUCUGAGCAGAACAUUAUCCUGAGCAUCAUAUGAAGAAGAAGAAGAAGGGAAAAAAAAGAACAAAAUUAAACACAAUCCCAGGCUUUCAAGGGCUGACAAUCUAAUGAGGGAGACUGUGAAUCAAAGCGAAUACAGAUGCAAACACAAACCAGGAAACGGGCCAGUGUGCAAAGCUGUUUUCACUCCCCUGGGGACCCACCGGGGUGUCUGUCUGAGGACGGAUCGGCUGCACUCGUGCUCUCAUCCCCACGGUCCUGCUGGGAGAAGGUCCUGCCCCGUGGCUGGCCUUGGAGAAGCAAAGGUGAGCCGCUUCAAGUCCCAGUGGGCAAGUCUUCCUUGCAUGGGGCCGGAAGUGCUGCAGCCGCCGGGGAAAGGCAUCCCCUGCAUGGGCCACGGUGAGUCAUCUAGGGAAGCUGCCAUCAGGGCCACCAUGAGUCAGGCUGACGUGUGUUGUGGAGCAUGGGAGUGGUGGCACCCCUGAAUCAGGUUGGGGGAGGCUUAGGGCUGGCUCAGGGUGCUCUGUUGGAAGCACCGCAGCAAGACAGACACUCCUUUGGGGGAUCUGACUGUCCUGUGGUUGGCUGUGGUUUGAAGGUGGCCGGGAUGACUUCUCCACAGGGCUUGUGUGAGGGCAUCCCCUGCUGGGAGUUUUCCCGAAAGGGGUUUCAGACAUCCUGGCCACACCUCCGACUUCUCCAUCUUGCAGAGCGGGGACAUAGGCCUGAAGAAGGCUCCUAAAGUCAUUCCAGCAAUUGAAGAGCACAGUGGCACUAACAUCCUGCUCACAGGCAGAGUGAUGCCCACUGCACUGCACCUGCAGCCCUCAUUUAGCAAAGGUUUGAAAUGCAGUAUCCGAAACCAGUGGGAAAAAUCAAUGUUCUCCUCUCUCUUGCCGCCUAUUAGCUGGAAGGCCUUGGACCAGUUGGCCUUGGUGCCGCUAAUGGCCUCAUCUGUAUACUAUUGACUACAUUGUAAGCAUUACUGUUCCAGGCACUAGACAUACAUGAAGGCACUUAAUCCUUAAAGCAGCCCAAUGAAGUAGUUACUAUUGUCGUGUCGAUUUAAGAAAUGAGAAAAUAGAGGCCCAGAGAGGUUAGAUUAUGUGGUUAAUAGGUGGUAGAGCCAUGCUACUAACGCAGGCAAUUUGGCUGUAGAAUUCUGGCUUUUAAUUGCCAUGCUAGGUGUGCUCUGAGACCCUGGCUGUCACCUUAUUGCAAUGAAAGCUCUGUGAAAGUUUCUUUAAAGUUCAUCCAGCUACUGCAGGACAAAAGAUUUGGUUUGUUCAAAGUUUUUUCAAGGCAAAAUAAAUAAAUAAAAAGAGAUGGAGUGGGAACAGACUAAGAGAGACUUAAGAGACAUAUCAGCCAAUUACAACAUUUGGACUUUAUUUCAGAAAAACUAAUUAUAAAAAAUAAAUAAAAUAAAACAACUGGGGAAAUGUGAACAUUGGCUGGAUAGUUGAUGAUAUUAAGAGAUUAUUGGUAAACACUUUUAGGUGCAAUAAUGAUACAUAUCUUUGUCUAAAAAAUAGAGUCCUUACCUUUUAGAAAUAUAUGCUGAAAUAUGAAAUAUAUGAUAAUAUGCUGUCUAGGAUUUGCUUCAAAAUAAUCAGAGCAGGGGAGUGAGUUGAGGGAUGGAUGGAACAAGAUUGUCCCUGUUUAAUAAUUGUUGCUGCUAUGUGACAGGUACAUUGGGGUUUAUUAUACUCCAUACUUUUGUUUGGAAGUUCUCAUUAUGAAAAGUUUUUAAAAAUCACCUGUAUAAAUUUUUGUUUUAUUCUCUCUGAGAAAUGUCAAAAGCACUUUGGAUCCACCUCACAGCUAGUGAGAAGAACAACACCACAGGGAGAGAGUGGGUAGGACACUGUUUAGAAGAGUCACCGUAUUUACUUUUGGACUUGAAGUUGUGAGGAGACAGACCUACACAAAGGGAGAGGCUGCAUGAUAAAGCAGAGUGGAGAAAUUCCAGAUUCUGGUAACAUCAUUUGAGCUCCUGGAUCCAGCUAUACCUAAAGUCAUAUACAGUAUGCUGCAUGUGGUUUGCUGAAACUGAUUCUUAAAUAUUACAAAUACAGUGCCUGCUUUGGUAGCACAUAUACUAAACUUGGAAUGAUAAAGGGAAGACUAGAAUGGUCUCUGUGCAAGGAUGACAUGCAAAUUUGUGAAGCAUUCCAUAUUUUUGUAAGUUUUCAUCUCUUU